rnacentral:rRNA from 1 species
CAGUAGCCGCGGUAAUACGAAGGGGGCUAGCGUUGUUCGGAAUUACUGGGCGUAAAGCGCACGUAGGCGGAUAUUUAAGUCAGGGGCGAAAUCCCAGAGCUCAACUCUGGAACUGCCUUUGAUACUGGGUAUCUUGAGUAUGGAAGAGGUGAGUGGAAUUCCGAGUGUAGAGGUGAAAUUCGUAGAUAUUCGGAGGAACACCAGUGGCGAAGGCGGCUCACUGGUCCAUUACUGACGCUGAGGUGCGAAAGCGUGGGGAGCAAACAGGAUUAGAUACCCGGGUAGUCCCUGUCUCUUAUAC